UACGGAGGGAGCUAGCGGUGUUCGGAAUUACUGGGCGUAAAGCGCACGUAGGCGGCUUUUUAAGUCAGGGGUGAAAUCCCGGGGCUCAACCCCGGAACUGCCUUUGAAACUGGAGAGCUAGAAUCUUGGAGAGGCGAGUGGAAUUCCGAGUGUAGAGGUGAAAUUCGUAGAUAUUCGGAAGAACACCAGUGGCGAAGGCGACUCGCUGGACAAGUAUUGACGCUGAGGUGCUAAAGCGUGGGGAGCAAACAGG
rnacentral:rRNA from 1 species